rnacentral:rRNA from 1 species
GACGAACGCUGGCGGCGUGCUUAACACAUGCAAGUCGAACGAAGUGGCGAACGGGUGAGUAACGCGUAAUCAACCUGCCCUUCAGAAGGUGACAACAGUUGGAAACGACUGCUAAUACCGCAUACUGAAGGUGGGGAUUGCGUCUGAUUAGCUAGGUGGAGGGGUAACGGCCCACCAAGGCGAUGAUCAGUAGCAGGUCCGAGAGGAUGAACGGCCACAUUGGGGCUGAGACACAGCCCAGACUGCUACGGGAGGCCGCAGUGGGGAAUCUUCGGCAAUGGGCGAAAGACUGACGGAGCAACGCCGCGGGAGUGAUGACGGCCUUCGGGUUGUAAAGCUCUGUUAAUCGGGACGCGGUACCGGAAUAGAAAGCCACGGCUAACUACGUGCCAGCCGCCGCGGUAAUUC